UACAGAGACUGCAAGCGUUAUUCGGAUUCACUGGGCGUAAAGGGUGCGUAGGCGGCUAUGUGUGUGAGGCGUGAAAGCCCGGGGCUUAACCCCGGAAUUGCACCUCAAACUACAUGGCUAGAGCAUUGGAGAGGGUAGCGGAAUUCACGGUGUAGCAGUGAAAUGCGUAGAUAUCGUGAGGAACACCAGAGGCGAAGGCGGCUGCCUGGACAAUUGCUGACGCUCAGGCACGAAAGCGUGGGGAGCAAAAGGG
rnacentral:rRNA from 1 species